AAUUAGCUGUGCCUUAGGAGAAUUCCCUUAGAAGCACAGGGGGUCAACUUUGACUUGGCAAUUCUGUUAUCAAAAGCACUAUCAGGAAAUAUUGCCUCUAUGUUGGACAGGAUGACUUCUAGAGCAGUUCAAAGAGACUUAGGGGCAGUUGGGAGAGAAGGAUAGCAAAUAUGCUCCUGAACUACAGCAGAUAACUCCUUCAAACUUCAAAAUAUGAGCAUAUUCAACAUAAAUAUGAGCAGAAGGCCAAAAUGUAGUUAACAAUUUCAUUUAAGAGUCUAGAAUUUUGAAAAGUCAAAUUUUUUUUAAGAAAAUAGGGAAAAUCACUGCAACGCAAGUGUAAGCACUUGAGUGCUUUACACUUAGAACCUAAGUAAAUAAAAUCUAAUUCUGAUCUUUAUUUACAUUAAUCAAAAAAAAUUAACUGGGAACCAAUUCAGGAUUAAAGCAUAAAAUUGGGACUUAGGGCAGAAAGG
rnacentral:lncRNA from 1 species